CCUUGACACCUGCGACUGGAGAAGCAAGAUGGCCUCCUCUGUGUGAGUGAUUGAGCUGAUUUUCUGCUCAAAAAACUACAAUCGAAACUGCCAUUUCAGAUCCCUUCAUCAUGAACUCCUCGAGAGAAGGCCAAUGGUUUGCAGCGCUGUCAACAAAGCAAAAGAGGAGGAGGAAGUGAAGAGGCUGGUUUGGUUGUUGAUUCUACUGCUGUGUUGAAGAUGGAGCGGAGGAACUGGUGGCAUUCUUGUUGUAAGAACAGGACCGGUAGCAGCUGUUGAUGUUUGGAGAAUGACAGUGCGAAGAGAGAGGAAAGCAGCUCUGGCAGGGGAAUAAGGAGUGAAGUUCUGGAGCAAACCCGGGGCCAUUAGCACUUGGACACGGUGCGAGAGUGUGUGUGCGAUCACUUGGGGAUUGUUUGAUAUUGACCUGCCCGAGCUGAAACCUGUCCUGCUGCAAUCCUCCUAUGUCUACAGGGCAUGGAGGAGCUGAUGCAACUACUCUGCUCUUAUUGCUUCAAGUCCAUCGAUGACCACAGCAUCGUGUUGAUGGCCCGGGACAACUUUAUCACUCCAAGAAGCACUCUCCUUCAGGGUUUGUAGACGCUGUGAUUACAUAAUUAAAAACAUCCUGGAAAAGACAUGGAAAAGUGUUUUGGAACCCUGAGUUUGCUCAACCCAACUCUCGUAUACCAAAUAGCCAUUAUAUUACCAACAAUAAAGGGACACCUGAUACAAUUAUAGGUUGGAAAUUUUGUGGUUUAGUUUUUGAGCAGCUCUUGAGGUCAAAUAAAGUCUGUCACUAAAAGAACUUUACAUUACUUUAGUCGAGUAGUAG